CGUUCCAUCCUCCCGACAGGAGGAGCGACCUGUGACCUCCGAGUCCGAGGUCGUGACCUCGGGCGAGGUCACGGGGUCCAGCGAGGUUGAGCCUGGGGUCAGGUCGGAGUCGGAGGUCGUGACCCCAAGGCGUGUGACCCUGGAAGCCGGAAGUCAGCAGAGGUCAGCAGCCAUUGCUCCCAGGCGGAUUCAACUGGUGACUUUAAGAAAUCCACGGUCAAGUGUCGGUACUAACUCAGCCGCCACCCCAACCAACAACCGCCACCACCAACCCAACAACCGCCACCACCAACCCAACAACCGCCACCACCAACCCAACAACCGCCACCACCAACCCAACAACCGCCACCACCAACCCAACAACCGCCACCACCAACCCAACAACCGUCACCACCAACCCAACAACCGCCACCACCACGGCCAACCCAACAUCCACAUCUGCUUCGCCAGAGAUAAAGAGACGGAGAGAGAUGGACACGGAGAGAGACACGGCGUCGAAGAGGCCUCGUGAGGAGGUGACGGGAGACUCGCCACCACCUCCACCACCACCCACCUCCUCACCACCACCACCCACCUCCUCACCACCACCACCACCCACCUCCUCACCACCACCACGACCCACCUCCUCACCAGCACCUCCUCACCAGCACCCUCCACCUCCUCACUGCCAAGGCGACGACGACCGUGACGUCAUCUUCAUAGAGGAUAACUGAGAGAGGUGAGGUGGAGGAGGUGGCAGAGGAGGAGGUGGAGCUGGUGGAGGAGGUGGUG